CGAUUAGGAAGCACCGGCUAACUCCGUGCCAGCAGCCGCGGUAAUACGGGGGGUGCAAGCGUUGUUCGGAAUUAUUGGGCGUAAAGCGCGUGUAGGCGGUUUGAUUAGUCUGAUGUGAAAGCCCUGGGCUCAACCCAGGAAGUGCAUUGGAAACUGUCAGACUUGAAUACGGGAGAGGGUAGUGGUAUUCCUAGUGUAGGAGUGAAAUCCGUAGAUAUUAGGAGGAACACCGGUGGCGAAGGCGGCUGCCUGGACCGAUAUUGACGCUGAGACGCGAAAGCGUGGGUAGCAAACAGGAUUAGAUACCCUGGUAGUCCACGCCGUAAACGAUGAGUACUAGGUGUCGCGGGU
rnacentral:rRNA from 1 species